rnacentral:misc_RNA from 1 species
UCCGAGUUGACCCCGGCAGUCUCCUAUGAGUCCCCGCCAUAACGUGCUGGCAACAUAGGACGAGGGUUGCGCUCGUUGCGGGACUUAACCCAACAUCUCACGACACGAGCUGACGACAGCCAUGCAGCACCUCGACUGGACUCCCUUGCGGGAUAGCGGUGUUUCCACCGCCGUUGACCAGCCGUUCGAGCCCAGGUAAGGUUCUUCGCGUUGCGUCGAAUUGAACCACAUGCUCCACCGCUUGUGCGGGCCCCCGUCAAUUUCUUUGAGUUUUAAUCUUGCGACCGUACUCCCCAGGCGGCGCGUUUAACGCGUUAGCUCCGGCACGGAAGGGGUCGAAUCCUCCCACACCAAGUAUGCAUCGUUUAGGGCGUGGACUAC